rnacentral:rRNA from 1 species
UACGGGGGGGGGCAAGCGUUGUUCGGAAUUACUGGGCGUAAAGGGCUCGUAGGCGGCCAACUAAGUCAGCCGUGAAAUCCCUCGGCUUAACCGGGGAACUGCGUCUGAUACUGGAUGGCUUGAGUUUGGGAGAGGGAUGCGGAAUUCCAGGUGUAGCGGUGAAAUGCGUAGAUAUCUGGAGGAACACCGGUGGCGAAGGCGACAUCCUGGACCAACACUGACGCUGAGGAGCGAAAGCCAGGGGAGCAAACGGG